AACGAACGCUGGCGGCAUGCCUAACACAUGCAAGUCGAACGAGACCUUCGGGUCUAGUGGCGCACGGGGGCGUAACGCGUGGGAACCUGCCCUUAGGUUCGGAAUAACUCCCCGAAGGGGGUGCUAAUACCGGAUAAGGUCUUCGGACCAACGAUUUAUCGCCUUUGGAUGGGCCCGCGUUGGAUUAGCUAGUUGGUAGGGUAAAAGCCUACCAAGGCGACGAUCCAUAGCUGGUCUGAGAGGAGGAUCAGCCACACUGGGACUGAGACACGGCCCAGACUCCUACGGGAGGCAGCAGUGGGGAAUAUUGGACAAUGGGCGAAAGCCUGAUCCAGCAAUGCCGCGUGAGUGAUGAAGGCCUUAGGGUUGUAAAGCUCUUUUACCCGGGAUGAUAAUGACAGUACCGGGAGAAUAAGCUCCGGCUAACUCCGUG
rnacentral:rRNA from 1 species